AACGAACGCUGGCGGCAUGCCUAACACAUGCAAGUCGAACGAGACCUUCGGGUCUAGUGGCGCACGGGUGCGUAACGCGUGGGAACCUGCCCUUAGGUUCGGAAUAACUCCCCGAAAGGGGUGCUAAUACCGGAUAAUGUCUUCGGACCAAAGAUUUAUCGCCUUUGGAUGGGCCCGCGUUGGAUUAGCUAGUUGGUAGGGUAAAAGCCUACCAAGGCGACGAUCCAUAGCUGGUCUGAGAGGAUGAUCAGCCACACUGGGACUGAGACACGGCCCCGACUCCUACGGGAGGCAGCAGUUGGGAAUAUUGGACAAUGGGCGAAAGCCUGAUACAGCAAUGCCGGGUGAGUGAUGAAGGCCUUAGGGUUGUAAAGCUCUUUUAACCGGGAUGAUAAUGACAGUACCGGGAGAAUAAGCGCCGGCUAACGCCGUG
rnacentral:rRNA from 1 species